AACGAACGCUGGCGGCGCGCCUAAUACAUGCAAGUCGAGCGAGAAGGUGUAGCAAUACACUUGUAAAGCGGCGAACGGGUGAGGAAUGCAUGGGUAACCUACCCUCGAGUGGGGAAUAACUAGCCGAAAGGUUAGCUAAUACCGCAUACGUUUCCGGAACUUCGGUUUCGGAAAGAAAGCAAUACCGUGGGUAUUGCGCUCCUGGAUGGGCUCAUGUCCUAUCAGCUUGUUGGUGAGGUAACGGCUCACCAAGGCUUCGACGGGUAGCUGGUCUGAGAGGACGAUCAGCCUCACUGGCACUGCGACACGGGCCAGACUCCUACGGGAGGCAGCAGUAAGGAAUAUUGCGCAAUGGACGAAAGUCUGACGCAGCGACGCCGCGUGGGGGAUGAAGGUCUUCGGGUUGUAGAGCACUUUCACCGGAGAAGAUAAUGACGGUAUCCGGAGAAGAAAGCCCCGGGCUAACUUCGUGCCAGCAG
rnacentral:rRNA from 1 species